UACGAAGGGGGCUAGCGUUGUUCGGAAUUACUGGGCGUAAAGGGCGCGUAGGCGGUGUGUCAGGUCAGGCGUGAAAGCCCCGGGCUCAACCUGGGAACCGCGCUUGAGACUGGCACGCUAGAGUUCGGGAGAGGAUGGUGGAAUUCCCAGUGUAGAGGUGAAAUUCGUAGAUAUUGGGAAGAACACCGAUGGCGAAGGCAGCCAUCUGGACCGACACUGACGCUGAGGCGCGAAAGCGUGGGGAGCAAACAGG
rnacentral:rRNA from 1 species